GACGUAGGGCGCGAGCGUUGUCCGGAUUUAUUGGGCGUAAAGAGCUCGUAGGCGGCUUGUCGCGUCGGCCGUGAAAACCUGCAGCUUAACUGUGGGCGUGCGGUCGAUACGGGCAUCACUGGAGUUCGGCAGGGGAGACUGGAAUUCCUGGUGUAGCGGUGAAAUGCGCAGAUAUCAGGAGGAACACCGGUGGCGAAGGCGGGUCUCUGGGCCGAUACUGACGCUGAGGAGCGAAAGCGUGGGGAGCAAACAGG
rnacentral:rRNA from 1 species